ensembl:lncRNA
AAAACGUUUGGUACCACAUCGCCCGACGGAUUUAAUCAUUAUUCAAGAGGGAAAGGACAAGAAUAGAUCGUUCAACCAGGAGUGUUUCAAGCGGAAAAAAAUACUUGUGUUUCACCUCAGCCACACAAAGGAGACCAGACAGCACUGUCCUUAAAGCACAGAGUUUCCAAACCAAAAUCGCCACUGGAUAUGAAGGCAUACAUUUCAUGCCUAUUUAAUUAAAGGGGAUGUACGUAUGUUCACUAUUUUGUUUACUUUUUAUAACCCUUCCUAGAAAAGUGUUAAACUUUAAUUGAAUGACGUUUGGUUUAAGCUUAGUUAAGCUUACAGUUAUUACAUCUAAAAUAUGCAUAUAAAAGUUUAGUG